AGAGUUUGAUCCUGGCUCAGAUUGAACGCUGGCGGCAGGCCUAACACAUGCAAGUCGAGCGGAAACGAAGAGGUGCUUGCACCUCUGGCGUCGAGCGGCGGACGGGUGAGUAAUGCUUGGGAACAUGCCUUGAGGUGGGGGACAACCGUUGGAAACGACGGCUAAUACCGCAUAAUCUCUACGGAGCAAAGGGGGCUUAGGCUCUCGCCUUUAGAUUGGCCCAAGUGGGAUUAGCUAGUUGGUGAGGUAAUGGCUCACCAAGGCGACGAUCCCUAGCUGGUUUGAGAGGAUGAUCAGCCACACUGGGACUGAGACACGGCCCAGACUCCUACGGGAGGCAGCAGUGGGGAAUAUUGCACAAUGGGCGCAAGCCUGAUGCAGCCAUGCCGCGUGUGUGAAGAAGGCCUUCGGGUUGUAAAGCACUUUCAGCAAGGAGGAAAGGUUAGUAGUUAAUACCUGCUAGCUGUGACGUUACUUGCAGAAGAAGCACCGGCUAACUCCGUGCCAGCAGCCGCGGUAAUACGGAGGGUGCG
rnacentral:rRNA from 1 species